rnacentral:lncRNA from 9 species
CCCACCCCCAGCGCACGCGCUCCCAUUCAAAGCGGCUGGGCUCCGCGGCCGCAAGGCGCUCAGAGAACGCGCGGCGGCCGCUGCGCAGCCCUGCCCCGCACGCGCACGUCCGGAAUCCGCCAGCCGCCAAGCCCAGCAGCCCGCACGGGAGGCAGCUACCGCUUGCAGUGUGGGGUCUGGUCCAGGACUCCCGUUCCUCCCCGCUGGGGGACCAUGGCCCGGCUGGCUGCGCCCUUGCACUGGGAGAUCUUGGCCCGCUUCCUCUUCAGCACCUGGUGCCUGCUGUGUUUCGCUGGACAGACUUGGCAAGAGCUCACACUCUGGUUCAGAAAGCAGCCACCGUAAAUGUAAGCGCACAGAUGAAUACAUACUUCACAUUGAGUUAAAUGCCCUGGAGGAAGAGAUCAAGGAGAAGAGCAAGAUGCAGAGCAAGAGAAUAAUUGAGUACAUACUUUAUAUUGAAUAGACAGGUAAGGCUUUUCUGAGGCAGUGUUGUUUGAAUUUUAAAGGAUUCAGGCCACUUCAUGCUCAACCCACCUGAAAAAACUGAAUUUUAAAGGAUGAGUAGGAGUUGUCCCACUGGAGAGGUGGGAUCAUUGUUAUCUUUAUUUACCUUUUUAUCUUUUGAAGAAUCUUCUCCAUGUUUUUGUUUGUUUGUUUAGUUAACUCAGUUAUUUUUGGUACUAGGCAUGGGGUUGGGGAUGUCCCAUUUUUGAAAGACAGAGCAGGAAAUCCUCUGUAUAUUUGGAAAACUAUUAGAAUUAGCACAAACUAGAGUAAAACAAUCUUUACAGUUCUCUCAUGGCUACUGUCUUUUCAGGAGCUAACAGGUUUGAACAUGGGCAUCUAAUUAAGAAAUGGGUUGUCUUUCUUCAAGUUUUAUCCCUUCGGUUUCCUCAGUCUUUCCAGUAACCUUUAGGGUAACAUUUUGUUUCUUUGAUUCUUGCCUUGGUAAAAUUGGGUCAGAAAUUAAAAGCCAUAUUUUGUUCUCUUUUAUGGCUGAGUAGUAUUCCAUUGUGUGUAUAUAUCAUAUCUUCCUAAUCCAAUCAUUUGUCAAUGGACAUUUGGGUUGUUUCCAUGUCUGGUCACCAUGCUGUACAGUAGGAAAAAAAUGUAUUAGGGAAAUAAAAAAAAAAGCCAUAAAGCUUAGAGAAUACCAAGUAUGCAGUUCUGUUCUUGCACUUUUGUGUAGACAUGGGAUCUCAGAGGUCAAGGACAUUUUCCCUGACGAUGCAGGCUCAACUUGAUGCAGAAAUGUUCAGGUGGGAUGCUUGCACUGGGGGUAAACAUUCCUCUGAUCAGUACUGUCCCCAUUUUGGGUUUUGUGCUAGAUUUAGUAUGAGAUGGAGAGCACAGGAAAGGAGACAACAUCUACUUCACUGUUCCUUAUGAUACACUUUUAUUUUCUCAAAAAAAGUCCUUGAGAAUUAAAAUUUUUCAUGCUCUUUCACAGUGAAGAGAUGAACUUGGUUCCAGAAAUGAUGAGAAAAUUGGUUCAGUAUGUUUCAGACAUGACACUACCUUAAUCUGUAAACAUGUGGUACAUUUUCUAAUCUCACGAAAAGUUUUAUAUUGCAAUAAUCAUAUAAUGUGUACCACCUUCUUAAUUGUGAACCAUUCUUGUCUCAUUCUGAAUAGAUUUCUUUGAGCAUUGCUUGUCCAAGUCUUUUUGUUAACAACAACAAUAGAAAUACAAACAAAAUAGAAAACAUGAAAGCUGUUAUGGUUAUCCAUCACUUUCAUGCUACAUUCAUUUAUUAGUUGUUUAAAUAAAUAUUUACUGAGCACUUACAAUGUACCAGGCUCUGAACAGCCAUCAAGGAUAAAACAUGAACAAGACUCUGG